rnacentral:lncRNA from 1 species
UACUUCAAAGCAUGGGUUGUGCUUCACCCCACCCUCUCUAGCUAAACUCCUUGGCUAAUGGCCUGCAUGAUCUUAACUUCAUUCCGGAAAUACUGGUUAAGAGGAUUUGGGACAGGCCAUUUGGAGGCUGGUGAACCUGACAACUUACACAACCUACAUUUGCAAAGCCCAGUUAUUUUCUGACUAAUGGGUCAGAAAGAGGGGGCAGAAGAGGAGAGAGAAAUCUUCACCAAACAAACAGCCAGGCCAUCUGGGUGGAGUUGCUUAAGGCAGUCACAAAAAAAUGAUCACAUCAUUUACCUCUCAUUUAACAAGGGCAGAGCAGGGAUACUAGCUGUGAGACACUUCUGCUCCGGGAAAGACCGUUCCUGAUUGUGGUUAUGGAGGAGGUGUCUUCAAAAGCAUCAAGGAAAAAAUAUCAAAUAAUUGUAUUUGUUUGACUGAAGACUUAUCUGGAUACAGGAGUUCCCCUCAGCCUUUUGAGUGUUGGUCGCUGAUCGUGGUUAUGGAGGAGGUGUCUUCAAAAGCAUCAAGGAAAAAAUAUCAAAUAUUUUGAUAUUUGAUAUCAAAUAUCAAAAUUUGCCAUGGUGCCCAGCAUGGUUCAAGAUCAUAAGUGUCAAGCACAUCAGGGCAAGAAUCUUCUGUUCCAUAUGCAACAUCUUCUGGCAGCCUUGUCCUUUUUCUGUCCUUGACGACUACAAUAACAAACAGCUGUUGCCGAGGCAUUGCUGUUGACGUGUUACCUUUGAAACCUCCCUCCUGUUAUGGAAUAAGCCUCUUCCAGAUCAUGGCUCAUUAUCAUCUAGUCUGACAAGCAGCCUUGUUGCCACGGAGACCCAAAGGGAUCAGGCGUGGCAUUUGCCUGCAUCAUCACCCCCUCCAGGGGAACUAUAAGGACUCUUCUGUGCGUCAUGCGUGGCUGUCCUGGGACUGGCUGCCACCAGACUUUUCCUGCGGGUAAAACCUAAACAAAUGAUCAGCUGCAGAUAAUAUCAAGACCUCUGUUUGAUAUGUUAAUAGUGACAGCCAGAUUUCCACAAUUAACAACGAGGUGGGAAGAAAACACUGUAGUCACCAGACUUGGGAGGAGAGGGUUUGUAUUCACAUAAACACAACCUCACGUCACUGCUUGCCACCACAAAGGGCUCUGUUCACUGUUUUGUUCUCAAAGAUCAUCCUUGCGCUCAUCCUCUGAUCUUGAAUUUCUACAUAACUUUCUCAGUUUAUAUGCCCUGUGGCAAGUGCAGCAAGCACUGUUUCCUGUUUCUAAACUUGUAGAAAAUCAUCCAUACAUCUUACAGUUGUCAGUUUUAACCAGAUAACAGUGGCACUUUGUUGCUGCUUUUUUAUCUUUAGCUUAGGUUAACAGGACCCUGGAAGUAAAGUUGUUGAUUUAUUCAAUAGAGUAUUCUCAAUUAAUUUGGCUAGAUUUCUACAUGAUUCAAAAUCUAAAAAAGUAGAAAUGCAUGCUUACAUGUCUAAGGCCUGAAAAAUUGGUAGUGACAUCCCAAAAUAAAUGAAGGUUUUAAAACAAUAA